rnacentral:rRNA from 1 species
UUGCCCUAGUAACGGCGAGUGAAGCGGCAACAGCUCAAAUUUGAAAUCUGGCUUCGGCCCGAGUUGUAAUUUGUAGAGGAAGCUUUAGGCGCGGCACCUUCUGAGUCCCCUGGAACGGGGCGCCAUAGAGGGUGAGAGCCCCGUAUAGUUGGAUGCCUAGCCUGUGUAAAGCUCCUUCGACGAGUCGAGUAGUUUGGGAAUGCUGCUCAAAAUGGGAGGUAAAUUUCUUCUAAAGCUAAAUACCGGCCAGAGACCGAUAGCGCACAAGUAGAGUGAUCGAAAGAUGAAAAGCACUUUGAAAAGAGGGUUAAAUAGCACGUGAAAUUGUUGAAAGGGAAGCGCUUGUGACCAGACUUGCGCCGGGCUGAUCAUCCGGUGUUCUCACCGGUGCACUCUGCCCGGCUCAGGCCAGCAUCGGUUCUCGCGGGGGGAUAAAGGCCCAGGGAAUGUAGCUCCUCCGGGAGUGUUAUAGCCCGGGGCGCAAUGCCCUCGCGGGGACCGAGGUUCGCGCUCUGCAAGGAUGCUGGCGUAAUGGUCAUCAGCGACCCGUCUUGAAACACGGACCAAGGAGUCAAGGUUUUGCGC